rfam:Paenibacillus sp. FSL H7-0737, complete genome.
CCGCGUUAAAGGUAAAAUCAUCGAAAGAUGAUGACACAAAGCCAUGGGUCUAAAGCCUUUCUACAGAAGGAAAUGAUCGCCAGGCCGCCAUA